UUGAUUCAUGUUUGUAAGUCGACCUCACGAUUGGAAGGGGUUGCUACAGGAAUAAAACAAAAGCUGCAACCCGUGAACCAUAGAAUAAUAAUAAUAACAAAAAGCAUUAAUGAGGAUGGUCUCUUAUACUCUGCCUGUUGUAAUUUGCUUGCAAUUCUUCGCAACCAAAAAAUAAUGAAAAAUCUACACAAGAAUCACUACGCAUCUUCAACUGCCUGCAUGUGACACAAAAAUCCAAUUUUGUCCAUCAUAAAUUAGCUUUAUAGGCCAUAUGAAACCCAAAAUUGGCCAUGUCUCAUUGCUCUGCAGCAUAAGCUUCUCCUUCUGAGUUCUCGCAAUCCAAAAAAAGAAGAAAAGAAAAAAAUCAGGAUUUCAAACCUCACCCGCUGCAGUAUGAGGCACACACUCUUGACUGAGCUACUAUAGCAGUAUAGCCAAUGGCUCACCCACAAAACUUUUCCCGCUCAAAAACCAUGUAAUGAUUAUUACUCUUUACUUUCUAGUCUAACUACUUCCAUGCACAAUUAUCGACAUCAGCUAAUAGUUUUUCUUUUCUUUCCACCUGAAAUAUAAUCCUUGUAUCAUUGAAUUUAAGGAGGAUUUACAUCUAACUGUAGCAAAUAAGAGAGUGACGUUUAGACACCCAGUCUGCCACUUCGUUACAACAUCUGUUAAUAUGAACAAAAGAGCAAAAAGAAAAAUCUCAAAUGUAGUCUGAAAUUCUUUUCCCCAUUAGAAUUGUAAUGUCAAGAAUAAAAUGAAUUUUUCUCAUCAUAUACUUUCUUGUUUCUAUAUUUGAUGCCACUGUGUACUCCAAACCCAAAAUUACAUGCUCUUGCAAGACGUCCAACUACUGGAGGCACAGAUACUGUAAGGAAAGAAAUUAUAUGCAAAAUGCUGUUUAAAUGCCUUUAAAAGCUGUCGGACGAAUAAAAGCUGUCGACAAAGCUUUUAUAUGCACAAAAAAGAAUAGACAGCUCUCAAUUGAGCCACAAGUAUAUCAUUCCUUCAAGCUCCUUAUUAGCAUCUCAAGAUCUCAAAAUCUCCAAUUAGAGAAUGCACCACACCUGGCAGACUGAUAUCAACUUAAUGACGAGGAAUCUGCCAGCUCCUUUAAGAGUGUGACAACAUCUUCUGAAGUUCCAAGGAGAUAUCUAGCAUUUGAUCGCUUUCGUGAAACAGCACAAGAGAAGUAGUUCUCCCCCUUGAGAUCAAGUACAGAAGAACCCUCAUGCACUGAAAUCCUCUCGCGUACAAUAGGUCGCCAAGCAGCACUGCCGAUACUGCUCUUUUCUAGAGUUGACAAAGAGCGCUGUUUCUUAAGGUGAGCCUUGGAACGGCUUUUACCGCAGGGAAUCUUUGGCAAAGGUGAAACAAGAUGGUCCGGUGACCUGGAUCGUGCUACAGCAGGUGAUUCAAUAGGAAGCUCUGGCUCGAAAAAGGUAUAGAUAUCUUCAUCCUGAACCAAUGAAUCCAAAAAUAAACUAUUGCUUACACUAUGAAUUAUAAGUGCUUCAAAGACAAUGUUUUGUUCUAGAGUGGAGCACAAGACGCAACAGGCAUGAUAACCGUAGCUUCUUGUAGAAGUUUACAGAUCAAUACUUAAUUACAUACUAUGCCAUCCCAUCUACAGCAACAAUAUACCAUGCUAUUACCGAAUGCGCCAGAAAAUUGUCUGUGCUUCAGAAAUGGCAGGGUUACUGGAAAGUUGUUCAUGAAGGUAUAACCCAUAUUUCGUCAGUAAGAUUUUCCAACUUACAUUGAA